rnacentral:rRNA from 1 species
GAUGAACGCUGGCGGCGUGCCUAAUACAUGCAAGUCGAGCGAACGGACGAGAAGCUUGCUUCUCUGAUGUUAGCGGCGGACGGGUGAGUAACACGUGGAUAACCUCCCUAUAAGACUGGGAUCACUUCGGGACACCGGAGCUAAUACCGGAUGAUAUUUUGAACCGCAUGGUUCAAAAGUGAAAGACGGUCUUGCUGUCACUUAUAGAUGGAUCCGCGCUGCAUUAGCUAGUUGGUAAGUUAACGGCUUACCAAGGCAACGAUGCAUAGCCGACCUGAGAGAGUGAUCGGCCACACUGGAACUGAGACACGGUCCAGACUCCUACGGGAGGCAGCAGUAGGGAAUCUUCCGCAAUGGGCGAAAGCCUGACGGAGCAACGCCGCGUGAGUGAUGAAGGUCUUCGGAUCGUAAAACUCUGUUAUUAGGGAAGAACAUAUGUGUAAGUAACUGUGCACAUCUUGACGGUACCUAAUCAGAAAGCCACGGCUAACUACGUG